AUGAAUCGAGCUCUCCGUUUGCCAACCGUCCGCUACAGCCGCUCUUACCUGCCCGUCCUCCAACGUGCUCCGCUCGCCGGAUUAGCGAGCUCUGGACCUCAGUCCUCCGUCGCAACCUCAGGCAACAAUCAGGCAACAAUCAAACCCAUUCCACCCCUUAUCCAAUUGAUGACCUUGCAGUUCCAACCCCGUAUCCAGAUCUCCCCACCACUUCUCUUUAUUUAAUAAACUUUAUUAUUGUGA